rnacentral:rRNA from 1 species
AGAGUUUGAUCCUGGCUCAGGAUGAACGCUGGCGGCGUGCCUAAUACAUGCAAGUCGAACGGGGAGUACUUACUUCGGUUUUUACUCCUAGUGGCGAACGGGUGAGUAACGCGUUGGUGACCUGCCCCGAAGAGGGGGAUAACUUCGCGAAAGCGGAGCUAAUACCCCAUGUGGUCUUACCGCUUAGAUACGGUUUGACUAAAGGAGCAAUCCACUUUGGGAGGGGCCUGCGUCCCAUCAGCUAGUUGGUAAGGUAACGGCCUACCAAGGCGAAGACGGGUAGGGGGCCUGAGAGGGUGGCCCCCCACACUGGCACUGAAACACGGGCCAGACACCUACGGGUGGCAGCAGUAGGGAAUAUUGCACAAUGGGCGAAAGCCUGAUGCAGCAACGCCGCGUGCACGAAGAAGGCCUUCGGGUUGUAAAGUGCUUUUCUGGAGGAAGAGGAAGGACGGUACUCCAGGAAUAAGGAUCGGCUAACUACGUGCCAGCAGCCGCGGUAACACGUAGGAUCCGAGCGUUAUCCGAAUUUACUGGGCGUAAAGCGCGUGUAGGCGGUCGGGUAAGUUGGACGUGAAAGCUCCUGGCUCAACUGGGAGAGGUCGUUCAAAACUGCCUGGCUAGAGGGCGACAGAGGGAGGUGGAAUUCCCGGUGUAGUGGUGAAAUGCGUAGAUAUCGGGAGGAACACCAGUGGCGAAGGCGGCCUCCUGGGUCGCACCUGACGCUCAGACGCGAAAGCUAGGGGAGCAAACGGGAUUAGAUACCCCGGUAGUCCUAGCUGUAAACGAUGUGGACUUGGCGUUGGUGGGGUUAAAUCCAUCAGUGCCGGAGCUAACGCGAUAAGUCCACCGCCUGGGGACUACGGUCGCAAGAUUAAAACUCAAAGGAAUUGGCGGGGGCCCGCACAAGCAGCGGAGCGUGUGGUUUAAUUCGAUGCUACACGAAGAACCUUACCCGGGUUUGACAUCCAGGUGGUAGGGAACCGAAAGGCGACCGACCCUUCGGGGAGCCUGGACAGGUGCUGCAUGGCUGUCGUCAGCUCGUGUCGUGAGAUGUCCGGUUAAGUCCGGUAACGAGCGCAACCCUUGCUGUAUGUUAUACGUGUCAUACAGGACUGCCGGUUUAGUGCCGGAGGAAGGCGGGGAUGACGUCAAGUCAGCAUGGCCUUUAUAUCCGGGGCUACACACACGCUACAAUGGCCAGUACAACAGGUUGCAAAACCGCGAGGUGGAGCCAAUCCCCAAAACUGGCCUCAGUUCAGAUUGCAGGCUGCAACUCGCCUGCAUGAAGUCGGAGUUGCUAGUAACCGCGCGUCAGCUAUAGUGCGGUGAAUACGUUCUCGGGCCUUGCACACACCGCCCGUCACGUCAUGGAAGCUGGUAACACCUGAAGCCGGUAUCCCAACCGCAAGGAGGGAGCUGUCGAAGGUGGGACUGGUGACUGGGACGAAGUCGUAACAAGGUAGGUGUACCGGAAGGUGCGGCUGGAUCACCUCCUU